GUGAGGAAUAUUGCGCAAUGGGGGAAACCCUGACGCAGCAACGCCGCGUGGGUGACGAAGGCCUUCGGGUUGUAAAGCCCUUUUCUGGGGGACGAGAGAGGACGGUACCUCAAGAAUAAGUCCCGGCUAACUACGGUGCCAGCAGCCGCGGUAAAACGUAGGGGGCGAGCGUUAUCCGGAUUUACUGGGCGUAAAGCGCACGUAGGCGGCAUUGUAAGUUGGAUGUGAAAGCUCUCGGCUUAACCGGGAGAGGUCGUUCAAUACUGCAAUGCUUKAGGUUGGAARAGGAGAGCGGAAUUCCCGGUGUAGUGGUGGAAUGCGUAGAUAUCGGGAGGAACACCAGUGGCGAAAGCGGCUCUCUGGUCCAUACCUGACGUUKAGGUGCKAAAGCGUGGGGAGCGAACGGGAUUAAAUACCCCGGUAGUCCACGCUGUWAACNAUGGAUACUAGGUGUGGGAGUCUUUUAAACCCUUCCGUGCCGAAGCAAACGCCUUAAGUAUCCCCCUGGG
rnacentral:rRNA from 1 species